rnacentral:piRNA from 1 species
GGAUUACAGUGUUGCAUCUCCUUAGC